rnacentral:rRNA from 1 species
UGGGGAAUAUUGCACAAUGGGCGCAAGCCUGAUGCAGCGACGCCGCGUGAGGGACGACGGCCUUCGGGUUGUAAACCUCUUUCACCAGGGACGAAGCGCAAGUGACGGUACCUGGAGAAGAAGCACCGGCCAACUACGUGCCAGCAGCCGCGGUAAUACGUAGGGUGCAAGCGUUGUCCGGAAUUACUGGGCGUAAAGAGCUCGUAGGUGGUUUGUCGCGUUGUUCGUGAAAACCAGCAGCUUAACUGCUGGCGUGCGGGCGAUACGGGCAGACUAGAGUACUGCAGGGGAGACUGGAAUUCCUGGUGUAGCGGUGGAAUGCGCAGAUAUCAGGAGGAACACCGGUGGCGAAGGCGGGUCUCUGGGCAGUAACUGACGCUGAGGAGCGAAAGCGUGGGGAGCAAACAGG